UACCAGCUCUCCGAGUGGUAGGGAUGAUUAUUGGGCUUAAAGCGUCCGUAGCCGGCUUAGCAAGUCUCCUGUUAAAUUCAGCGACCUAAUCGUUGAGCCGCGGGAGAUACUACUAGGCUAGGAGGCGGGAGAGGUCGACGGUACUUUCGGGGUAGGGGUGAAAUCCUAUAAUCCCGGGAGGACCACCAGUGGCGAAGGCUGUCGACUAGAACGCGCUCGACGGUGAGGGACGAAAGCUGGGGGAGCGAACCGGAUUAGAUACCCGGGUAGUCCCAGCUGUAAACGAUGCGGGCUAGGUGUUGGGGUGGCUACGGGCCACUUCAGUGCCGCAGGAAAGCCAUUAAGCCCGCCGCCUGGGGAGUACGGCCGCAAGGCUGAAACUUAAAGGAAUUGGCGGGGAGCACCACAAGGCGUGAAGCUUGCGGUUC
rnacentral:rRNA from 1 species